rnacentral:rRNA from 1 species
GAUGAACGCUGGCGGCGUGCCUAAUACAUGCAAGUCGAGCGAACAGACGAGGAGCUUGCUCCUCUGACGUUAGCGGCGGACGGGUGAGUAACACGUGGAUAACCUACCUAUAAGACUGGGAUAACUUCGGGAAACCGGAGCUAAUACCGGAUAAUAUAUUGAACCGCAUGGUUCAAUAGUGAAAGACGGUUUUGCUGUCACUUAUAGAUGGAUCCGCGCCGCAUUAGCUAGUUGGUAAGGUAACGGCUUACCAAGGCAACGAUGCGUAGCCGACCUGAGAGGGUGAUCGGCCACACUGGAUCUGAGACACGGUCCAGACUCCUACGGGAGGCCGCAGUAGGGAAUCUUCCGCAAUGGGCGAAAGCCUGACGGAGCAACGCCGCGUGAGUGAUGAAGGUCUUCGGAUCGUAAAACUCUGUUAUUAGGGAAGAACAAAUGUGUAAGUAACUAUGCACGUCUUGACGGUACCUAAUCAGAAAGCCACGGCUAACUACGUG